GUUGUGAAUCUGUUGAUGUAUUUAUUUGCACUCAUGUAGUAAUGCACUGUCAUGAAAGCUAAAUUGUGACAUAACUUUUUUCCUCUGUCAGUUGGCUAUGACAUAUUUAUUGACCAGAUAAGUGGAAGUGCCUGCUUAUGCAGACCCAGUGUAUACAUGCUGGCAUUGUUUCAUGUGUUUAUGCUAUGGCAAGUUUGACACAGUAUUUGCUAUAGUGAUAUUUAUUUUUUUGUGACAUUUAAUCUCAUCUAAAUCUCAUUAUGUUUUUGAACAGUGUUGGGUAGCCAGCCACCCAUGCACGAUGACAAUGCCAGCAGCGGGCACCCAUGGGGAUGGACCCAGGAGUGGAGGAUGACCCAGUAUGAUGAAAGUUCAGCCCACUCACUGACACCAGUGACACAGUAUUGACCAGAUCUCCUGGAAGUGCCUCCUGACGCAGACCCAGUUCUUGGGUAGCCAGCCACCCAUGCACGUUGACACAGCCAGCACCGAGCACCCAGGGGGAUGGACCCAGGAGUGGAGGACGGCCCAAUAGGAUGAAAAUUCAUCCCACUCACUGUUGACACCAAUGAGGGAACAAGAGAGGCUAGGCAACCCCAUCUUUUGACAACGGUCACCACCAGUCUAUUUCUAAAAAUGUUAUUAUUAUAUAUCUGUUAUAUAACAAUGUAUUUGUGUAUGGAUUAU